UCAAGCAAAAUAUAUAAAUUUUACAAGUUCACAUAGAGGUUGAAGAAAAACAGUUGAAUAAUAUUUAUAGGUGCAAAGACUACUUUGAAAUUACAAAAUAUUAAAGUAGUUGGCUUUGCAUGAGGUACUAAUUAAUUAAUCUAGUCCUAAUCUGUGCUUUUGUAUUUUUAUUUCUUACAGGAUAAAGCAUUAAGGCAUAGUUCUACUUUUUAGUGUGUGAUACACCACGUCCAUGAGUAGCACAUACAGAGUUAAUAAAACAUAAACUCUAACGUGCUUUGCUUUGCUGUUAAAACUACCUCAGGAUUUACCAAAUAAUCCAACUCUUUUUGUGUCUCAAGGGUACGAUGUGUAAGCCCAAGUCAAGAUGGGACAUGCUUUUCUUUGGGCGCUACAAUUACUGUUGAUGGAUGCCAGCUACAUUUAUUAACUGAUUCUUUUUAUCUUUUAGAUCACAUCACAGGCUUAAUGAUGUCUGUCAUGUCCAGAAAGGCUUGUGACAUUGAUGGUAGAGGAACUGGUCAGCUGGGAUAUUUUAUUUUGCAAACAUAAUGUACGUCAGGCACUUGGGAGGAUGAGCUUGCUGCAGAGAUGAGGCACUUUCCGCCUAAGCCAGGCAGGGGGAGCACCAAGUCUGGAUGUCCUCCUGCAGUGGAGCCACUUUUGCUUUACAAGUGCCUUCAGAAUACCCUGACCUCAGUGAAUAUUUUGUCCUAAACUCUGGAAAAAACACAACUGAUAGCAUGGGAUCAGCUGUUUGCUGUUUAUGUUUCCAGGCUGUAUCUGCAUAGUCUAAGUUGACUGCAGUAUAACUGGAGUGAAAAUGCAGAAACUGGAGCCAGCAGAAACUUAUGGAGAAAGCUCUUUGCUACUCAGAGAGGGAACAGUGUUUCUGCAUUUUUUAUUGUGUUCUUAUUUUCUGCCUUUAUCCAGAUUAAGGUACAUCUGUCCCUACUGUUAUGUUGCACCCAGUGUUCUUGCUGUGGAAAAAGGAGAGGAUUUUUGCUUUCCUCCUUGGGGAAUGCCUUAACCAUGAGAAGGUUAUGGAGCAGAAUGGUGCGUGAGCAGCGAAAGGUGCACCUUUCUGUAACAUGUAUGAUGAUGGGGAGUCAAUAUGAGUCUGCUUCUGUUGGCUGGAAGUGUGGGAAUGUGCACCACCGUGGGACCAGGUACCAGGGAAGCUGGAAGACCUUCUUGUCAACCUUCUUGUCACUCACCUAUUCCCACGACUGUAAUUGUUGAAGAUGGUGACCAUUUUUCAGACACGGCUGCUCGGCACAAAGCUUUCAGGAAACCAAACCAGAAAUCUGAAGAGCUGGAAAGUUGAUGUUGGGUGAGAACAACAGGUAUAGCAGUGAGAAAAGCUUCUUGAUAACCUGUGGCUGCUCCAGGACAGAAGGAAAGGUGCCUCCACUGCCGGGGCUGCCCCAUCAGCCACACCACACUGGCCGUGAAAACAUGGCAGGCUCUUCUCCAAGGGUUAAUGUUUUAAGUCACAACUUGCACUGCAGUUAUGCCUAAUUAACUCAAAAUUAAUGGUCCAGAACCUAGUCCAACAGUUACGCUCAAUGGUGCAAAAAAAAAAAUCUCCCUUUUAUGUUCAGGAUAAUACUUUUUUCCUAGAACAGUGUUGGUUAGUCUUGAAGACCAAAGAAUUGUAAGCAUAACUUCAAUGUAUACAUUUAUUUUGCUUUUGUUUCUUGUGCAAAUUGUUGAGCCUUUCCUAAGUAUUGCUUUUCUUCAAUUUCCAUGUCUUUACAAGUUUCAUUUAAAAAAUAAAUAAA